ACCUCAGCUCCACAACCCACCCCAGGUGAGCAGUCAGCCUGGCACAUAUGGGUGACAGUCCUGAGACCAGCACUGACCCUGGUCCUGUCCCCACAGCUUCCACCCAGAAGCCAUUCGUCUACCAAUUGAGGUCCUGUUGCACAAAGGAAGACCCUGUGACACUGGGCUGCCUGGUCAAGGACUACUUCCCAGGGUCAGUGACCGUGACCUGGGACACAGUGCCCCUGGACGGGAGCACCCUGACCUUCCCUAGCAUCCAAAUGGCGAACUCCAGUCUCUACAUUACCACCAGCCAGCUGACUGUCCCGGGUGAGCAGCCCAGGGAGUUCACCUGCAGUGUUUUCCACGCUGAGACCAACGACACCAUCACCAAGACCGUCAGCACUGAGUGCAUCAAGAACUUCAGCGACCCCUCGGUGAAGCUCUUCUACUCCUCCUGCAACCCCAGUGGCGACACCCACACCACCAUCCAUCUCCUGUGCCGGAUCUCUGGCUACACCCCAGGCAAAAUCAAGGUCACCUGGCUGGUGGAUGGGCACGAGUCCAAAGAACUGUAUGCACAAUCCGGCCCCGAGAUACAGGAGGGCAACCUGACCUCCACCUACAGUGAAGUCAACAUCACACAGGGCCAGUGGGUGUCCGAAAAAACCUACACCUGCCGGGUCAACUAUUACGGCUUCAACUUCGACAACCAUGCCCGCAGGUGCACAGCCGAGUCCGAGCCCCGAGGCGUGAGCGCCUACCUGAGCCCGCCCACCCCCCUCGAGCUGUACGUCAACAAGUCGCCUAAGAUCACCUGCCUGGUUGUGGACCUAGCCAACACGAACAAUUUGACACUGACCUGGUCGAGGGCAAAUGGGAAACCUGUGCACGAGGACCCCCUCGUCAUCAAGAAGCAGUUCAACGGGACGUUCACCGUCACGUCCACCCUGCCGGUGGAUGUCAUUGACUGGGUUGAAGGCGAGACCUACUACUGCAAAGUGAGCCAUGGCGACCUGCCCACGGAUAUCCAGCGAUCCAUCUCCAAGGAUGAUGGCAAGCGUGUGGCCCCCAAGGUCUACGUGUUCUCGCCAGACAGAAAGGAGAUGGAGAAUGAGGAGGAGCUCACCCUCACCUGUCUGAUCCAGAAAUUCUUCCCCAAGGACAUCUCUGUGAGGUGGCUGCAUAACGAGAAACUGAUGCGGGCAGACCAGCACACCACCACGCAGCCUCACAGGGCCGACAACAACACCCCCACCUUCUUCGCCUACAGCCGCCUGGCGGUCCCCAGGGCCAACUGGAAGACAGAUGACAGGUUCACCUGCCAAGUGAUCCAUGAGGCACUGCCCAAGACUAGGACCCUGGAGAAAUCGGUGGUCAUUAACAGCGGUAAAUAACGCCCGCCCUCCAGCCCGCCCCUCUCCAGGGGCAGGGGAGGGGCCAGUGGGACCUUCUGUCCACUUUCAAUAAACACUCUGGUGCCUGCUCAGA